rnacentral:rRNA from 1 species
GUAGGUCCCGAGCGUUGUCCGGAUUUAUUGGGCGUAAAGCGAGCGCAGGUGGUUUAUUAAGUCUGGUGUAAAAGGCAGUGGCUCAACCAUUGUAUGCAUUGGAAACUGGUAGACUUGAGUGCAGGAGAGGAGAGUGGAAUUCCAUGUGUAGCGGUGAAAUGCGUAGAUAUAUGGAGGAACACCGGUGGCGAAAGCGGCUCUCUGGCCUGUAACUGACACUGAGGCUCGAAAGCGUGGGGGGAGCAAACAGGAUUAGAUACCCUGGUAGUCCACGCCCGUAAACGAUGAGUGCUAGAUGUAGGGAGCUAUAAGUUCUCUGUAUCGCAGCUAACGCAAUAAGCACUCCGCCUGGGGAGUACGACCGCAAGGUUG